AAAAGGAAGAAUUAGCAACAAAAUGCCUCCCCGACAACUGAGUGUGCAACUGGAUUACAGAUUUGCUCCUCUGCUGCAGGACCCUGGACACCCAUCUGAUGACCUGGAU